rnacentral:rRNA from 1 species
AAGCGGUGGAGCAUGUGGCUUAAUUCGAGGCUACGCGAAGAACCUUAUCCCAGACUUGACAUGUGCGAUAGCGGUGGGCGGUAACUCCCGGAAACGGGGUGUGAUUCCUCGCAAGAGGAGGACCCACUACAGGUGCUGCAUGGCUGUCGUCAGCUCGUGUCGUGAGAUGUCGGGUUAAGUCCCGUAACGAGCGAAACCCCUGCCCCUAGUUGCCAGCGGGUCAUGCCGGGCACUCUAGGGGGACCGCCGGCGUCAAGCCGGAGGAAGGCGGGGACG